UUGUCCGCAACAUUUUAAUGAACUAAAUGAGGUAUCAGUCUUCAGAGACCAGUGAUGUAUUAUUGUUCAUCAGAAGAGCUGAUAGAGAAGGAAGCCUUUCCAGAAUGCAGCCUCAGGAGGAACAGUCUAGAAGCCUCAUCAUCUAAUUAGGAUGUAUUGAUGGAGAGAUGAAGCUGAAGAAGAAAUGAGAAGAACAGCGAAGAGAGUUGUCAAGUGCAGCCUGCUGGGUUAAAUCUAGGCUCCACCAGCUACUAAAGAUGAAAUGCCCGGAUCACAAGGCAGUGAAAAUAAAUCAGAGAAAUGGCUCAGGAUAAAGGACACAGUGGAAAAUUUUCAACUUUCUCCAGGCCUGUGAAGAGGAAGCACAGCAUGAAGGAAAUUUAUGUGGGACAAAACUCAUAAAGAGGAAGAGCGAGGGAUGAGGACCCAUAAUCCUAUUCAAAGUCAUGGCUCCAAUGACCUAAAUACCUAAAGACACUUCAUUAAGGCAUCACCUUCCACGAGCACCAAGCUGGAGGUCAAGCAGUUACAUGGACCUUUGGGGGACACUUGAGAUCAAAGAUGGAGCACUUGACAUCCAGAGUAAUAUCUGAAAUGAGACCAUAGAUUUGCUCUUCUAAUUCUUUAUUCAGUACUGGCUCCUGGCCCUGUAUCAGUGGUAGGGGAGGAGGAGAAUCAGAAAAGGCAUAUGCCUGACCCUUAAAGUCCUUCUUGUAGUGGAAAAGAAAUUAUUAAAAAUAAAGAUAAUUCCU